GAAAUGCGAUAAGUAAUGUGAAUUGCAGAAUUCAGUGAAUCAUCGAAUCUUUGAACGCACCUUGCGCUCCUUGGUAUUCCUUGGAGCAUGCCUGUUUGAGUAUCAUGAAAUCUUCAAAGUAAAUCUUUUGUUAACUCAAUUGGUUUCUACUUUGGUAUUGGAGGUCUUUGCAGCUUCACACCUGCUCCUCUUUGUUCAUUAGCUGGAUCUCAGUGUUAUGCUUGGUUCCACUCGGCGUGAGAAGUUAUCUAUCGCUGAGGACACUGUAAAAGGUGGCCAAGGUAAAUGCAGAUGAACCGCUUCUAAUAGUCCAUUGACUUGGACAAUACUUUUAUGAUCUGAUCUCAAAUCAGGUAGGACUACCCGCUGAACUUAAGC
rnacentral:misc_RNA from 1 species